rnacentral:lncRNA from 1 species
UGGCGACCUCUCUCUGAACCUCUCUGGCGGCCGAGCCUCCGUAACACUCUCAAGUUUUACCGACGGAUAAGCCCCCCCACUAGCGUCGAUCGGAUUCUUCGCGACGGACGAACUCCACCCAAGUUUCCACGAUGAUCGACCACCUUCUAAACUUCUUCCGGACUCCUACGGGAGUCAGACUUCAUCCCCGACUCCGGCUGCAGGAAGACUUCGUCCGGACUCCUACGGGAGUCGGACUUCGUCCCCGACUCCGGCUACAGGAAGACUUAGUCCGGACUCCUACG